rnacentral:rRNA from 1 species
UACGUAGGGUCCGAGCGUUGUCCGGAAUUAUUGGGCGUAAAGAGCUCGUAGGCGGUCUGUCGCGUCGGCUGUGAAAACCUGGGGCUCAACUCCAGGCCUGCAGUCGAUACGGGCAGACUAGAGUUCGGUAGGGGAGACUGGAAUUCCUGGUGUAGCGGUGAAAUGCGCAGAUAUCAGGAGGAACACCGGUGGCGAAGGCGGUUCUCUGGGCAUUACCUGACGCUGAGGAGCGAAAGUGUGGGGAGCGAACAGG